rnacentral:lncRNA from 1 species
UCAAAUCACGGCUAACUCUGCUCUGACAUAGGCCUUUGUAUCCAGUAAAAAUUAGAGACCCGUAGGGGAUUCUGUCUCUGCAUCCUCAGACAGACACAGAGAACCUCAGGUAACACAAACCAGGAUGUUCAAAAUGAACAAAUGCAACCCGCACAGCUGGGCUUAUAUUCAAUAUCUAUUCAAAUAUCUAAGACCCCAGAUUUAAAACUCUCCACUUUUCUGAUCUUGUAGCUUCUCAUAGGGACAAAGUCUUUGAAAUUUCAUUCCAGGUUUCAGUGAUUGAGGUUUUUGUC